UUGUUAGAAAUUGGAAAUGAUGAGCUAGCAAUAGCCUGCUCUUUCCCUCUUGUUAUUAAGCAAUGUGCAUUAUUUGAUUCCACCUGCAAAGUUAGAGAUUGUUAUCCAAAGAAGCUUGGUUCACUAACCAGAAGUCCUUGAAGGAGAGCUUGGGGGUAUAAAUAAAUUAGACCAGAAUCUCUGGCAGCCAUCUGCAUCCCUCAAGGAUAACAGAUUUCCUUGAGGCAAGAACAGAACAAUGAAUAGCAAGAGAACUGGAUUUCUAAACUUAACUCAUAACAGAGCAGCUGAAUUUCAGUAGGCAAGAAAACCUGAGAAUGGGAGAAAGAGUGUGACAAAGCAAAUUACAAGAAGAGCCAAGAGAGGACUGGAUCAGGAACA